CAGCAGCCGCGGUAAUACGGAGGGAGCUAGCGUUGUUCGGAAUUACUGGGCGUAAAGCGCGCGUAGGCGGUUACUCAAGUCAGAGGUGAAAGCCCGGGGCUCAACCCCGGAACUGCCUUUGAAACUAGGUGACUAGAAUCUUGGAGAGGUCAGUGGAAUUCCGAGUGUAGAGGUGAAAUUCGUAGAUAUUCGGAAGAACACCAGUGGCGAAGGCGACUGACUGGACAGGUAUUGACGCUGAGGUGCGAAAGCGUGGGGAGCAAACAGGAUUAGAUACCCCAGUAGUCCCUGUCUCUUAUAA
rnacentral:rRNA from 1 species